rnacentral:rRNA from 1 species
GUCCUGAAGGAACGUUGAAGACGACGACGUUGAUAGGUCGGGUGUGUAAGCGCAGCGAUGCGUUGAGCUAACCGAUACUAAUGAACCGUGAGGCUUAACCUUACAACGCCGAAGC